GCCGGGCGUUGUGGCGGGCGCCUGUGGUCCCAGCUACUUGGGAGGCGGAGGCAGGAGACUCGCUUGAGCCCAGGAGUUGGAGGUUGCUGUGAGCUGUAAUGCCACGGCACUCUACCCAGGGGGACAGCUUGAGGCUCUGUCUCAAAAAAAAAAAAAAAAAAAAAAGUUUCACUUUGUUAACCUCAGUAGAAUACCAUGGCAUCAUAGCUCACAGCAGCCUUAAACUCUUGGGCUCAAGUGAUCCUCUUGC
rnacentral:sRNA from 1 species